rnacentral:rRNA from 1 species
GACGAACGCUGGCGGCGUGCUUAACACAUGCAAGUCGAACGGAAAGGCCCUGCUUUUGUUGGGUGCUCGAGUGGCGAACGCGUGAGUAACACGUGAGUAACCUGCCCUUGACUUUGGGAUAACUUCAGGAAACUGGGGCUAAUACCGGAUAUGAGCUCCUGCUGCAUGGUGGUGGUUGGAAAGUUUCGGCGGUUGGGGAUGGACUCGCGGCUUAUCAGCUUGUUGGUCAGGUAGUGGCUUACCAAGGCUUUGACGGGUAGCCGGCCUGAGAGGGUGACCGGCCACAUUGGGACUGAGAGACGGCCCAGACGCCUACGGGAGGCAGCAGUGGGGAGUAUUGCACAAUGGGCGGAAGCCUGAUGCAGCAACGCCGCGUGCGGGAUGACGGCCUACGGGUUGUAAACCGCUGUCGCAUGUGACGAAGCGUGAGUGACGGUAAUGGGUAAAGAAGCAACGGCUAACUACGUG